UCAAAACCCGCACGUGAAAGCCUACAAAUCCGCUCCCCCAUGGGACCCCAAUUUUUUUUCUCACGUGCGUGAUAGUCCAGAUUGUACGACCACGUGGGAAAUUUUCUUGAAAGCGGAAAGUCCAUCCGCUGGAAUCGACGGAUCCCAUUUCCUUGAUUUGUGAUUGAUGUGAGGCGCUGUGAGCCGGAUGCAGUGAAGCCGUUUACGACCACGACGGAGCCCCCUGCUCGGUCUACAGCGAGCGCCGCGGAAAAUACCUGCCGUGCGGCGUCAUUCGAUCAUCUACCGGAAAAUUUGAAUUCCUCCCGUCGCAUCUCAAGAGUCAAACCCGAGAAGAGAGAACAUCCCUCUCUCUCUGUCUCUCUACUGCCAAAUGAUUCCUUAUGACUUGAGGAAGACAAUGAGAAAUUGGCCGGAUAAGAAGGCGGCGGGUAAGAGAGCAGCAUCUUGCGUAACGCCACUGGAGCGGGACCAAGCGGCCGACGUGCCAGCGUUCGACGUCGGCGUCGUUCCCGGGCCAAGGAUGCGGGGGGAACUGGAGCGGCGGUUUUAAUGCAAAAGUAAAUCCGUCCAGGUGUUACAUAAAUAUUACUAUAUAUGCUAAUCAUUCGGGAUGGAGGACGCGAGGAUGCCGCUGUGAGCGAACACAAACAGUCACGCUGUUACUAUUCGUCAAAAGAGUCAAUUCGCGCUCUCCGUUCGGGGUGGCGUGGACAUAUGUUUCGAUUUUUCAGUACAGUUUGGGAUUCCCAACCAUUGGAAAUGAUACAAUUUCACUUAACAGUGCUUAUUGGUGGUUCGUCCCCAAUUAUGGCCACUUGUAAAUUGGUUGAUAGGCUGUGUGCUGUGUAAUAACACAUUUACGCAUACCCAUAACAGAAUGCCACGGACAUUUGCAAAAAAUCAGCAACUCCUGGAAAGUUUUCAAGGACAUCUCCGGUAAGUACAGCCCUCUUUCCCGCGAUGACCUCUUCGCAAUGAACUGCGGCGGGCGGGCGUGCGGGUGGGCGGCGCUGAGAUGUAAUCAAAGAGUCGGAGAUUAAAGCGGAUCUUCGGGGCUCAGCGGGUCAGCUGGUGAUACAAUAACUUCGUCAUGUUUUAAGAGUGGCGUAGCCAGCGCCGUUCAUCAAAAAGUCUUCUUAAGUAAGCUCCCCCCCCCACCCCCUAGUGGGUUUAUGGACACAAGCAGGAGAUUAUUUGACUCUCUUCUUGGUAUCAAUAUUGUUGAAAAUAUGAACACCGAAAUUGAUGCUGUUCAAAAGUUUGGCGCUCACUUAGUGAUGUCCUUAAUACCGCUGAGCUGUGAGAGUCAUCAAGUGUGAUGUGAGAAAGAAAUCGGGGACCGUUUUCUAUCCCUUUACAGUGAAAAUAAAUGUAUCCAUUCAUUUUCUUUGCCGCUUAUCCUCAUGAGUGUCGCGGGGAGUGCUGCAGCUGUCAAGGGGCAGCAGGCAGGGUACACCCUGAACUGGUUGCCAGCCAAUUGCAGGGCACAUAGAGACAAACAGUCACACCUCGGGGCAAUCUAGAGUGUCCAAUUAAUGUUGCAUGUUUUUGGGGAUCUGGGAGGAAACCGGAGUGCCCGGAGAAAAGCUAUGCAGGCACGGGGAGAACAUGCAAACUACACACAGGCGGGGGCCGGGAUUUGAAUCCCGAUUCUCAGAACCGUGAGGUCAAUGCUCUACGGCUGCGCCACUGUGCCGCCCAAGUGUAUCCACCCUAGGUUAUUAUUAUUAUUUGCUAGCUUAAUGCUAAUGUCUAAUGCCAGAGUCUGUAGAUGGGCUCAAUUUUAAAAAAAAAUUAAUUAAAAAAGUGAGAAGAACUACUAUAUUACUGUGGCUCAGUAAAGGUCACCUUGACCUUAAUUCCGCUUUAUCGACAUGCAGCUGAGCUCAGUGCUGCCCAGCAUGUUCUGGCGCAACGUGGUACUACACUGAAGACACUCAACUCUUUAUUCGGACUUUGAAUGCGACGGAGUGGGUGAACACUACUUAUCUUUUGUAGUUUUUCAUCUUUGAAUCGCUAAAAUGGUCAAUGUUGGUCCUUGUCUUUCCCUUUGCAUGUUCAGAACUUCACUCGGCUUCAUUUGAAUGGACUACUCAUGCCUCUAGCGCGGAACUCGCUAAAGGCCGCGCCGGUUUAUUCCCGUCUGACAUCCUCGGGCUUACAUCUAAAGAAGGCUCGUCCGUCGGCGAGUCUCAGACGAAACCAAUUUUUUUUUUUUUUUUUUUUUUU